rnacentral:misc_RNA from 1 species
CGCCCCUCAAGUCCCCUGUGGACUUGGUGUUGGGGAUCGGCGAGGCUGGUUUUCCAGCACAGCCGUCCCUUAAAUUAAUUGGCGGUCUCGCCGUGGCCCUCCUCUGCGCAGUAGUAAAGCACUCGCAACAGGAGCCCGGCGCGGUCCACUGCCGUAAAACCCCCCAACUUUUUAUAG